rnacentral:rRNA from 1 species
GAUGAACGCUGGCGGCGUGCCUAAUACAUGCAAGUCGAGCGAACAGACGAGAAGCUUGCUUCUCUGAUGUUAGCGGCGGACGGGUGAGUAACACGUGGAUAACCUACCUAUAAGACUGGGAUAACUUCGGGAAACCGGAGCUAAUACCGGAUAAUAUUUUGAACCGCAUGGUUCAACAGUGAAAGACGGUCUUGCUGUCACUUAUAGAUGGAUCCGCGCUGCAUUAGCUAGUUGGUAAGGUAACGGCUUACCAAGGCAACGAUGCAUAGCCGACCUGAGAGGGUGAUCGGCCACACUGGAACUGAGACACGGUCCAGACUCCUACGGGAGGCAGCAGUAGGGAAUCUUCCGCAAUGGGCGAAAGCCUGACGGAGCAACGCCGCGUGAGUGGUGAAGGUCUUCGGAUCGUAAAACUCUGUUAUUAGGGAAGAACAUAUGUGUAAGUAACUGUGCACAUCUUGACGGUACCUAAUCAGAAAGCCACGGCUAACUACGUG